rnacentral:rRNA from 1 species
UACGUAGGGACCAAGCGUUGUUCGGAUUUACUGGGCGUAAAGGGCGCGUAGGCGGCAAUUCAAGUCAUCUGUGAAAUCUCCGGGCUUAACCCGGAACGGUCAGAUGAUACUGCUUUGCUAGAGUGCGGAAGGGGCAAUCGGAAUUCUCGGUGUAGCGGUGAAAUGCGUAGAUAUCGAGAGGAACACCUGAGGUGAAGACGGGUCGCUGGGCCGACACUGACGCUGAGUGCGCGAAAGCCAGGGGAGCAAACGGG